GUGCCAGCCGCCGCGGUAAAACGUAGGAGGCGAGCGUUAUCCGGAUUUACUGGGCGUAAAGCGCACGCGGGCGGCUUCGUUAGUCGGAUGUGAAAGCUCCUGGCUUAACUGGGAGAGGCCAUUCGAUACUGCGGGGCUUGAGGUUGGGAGAGGGGUGCGGAAUUCCCGGUGUAGUGGUGGAAUGCGUAGAUAUCGGGAGGAACAUCAGUGGCGAAGGCGGCACCCUGGCCCACACCUGACGCUGAGGUGCGAAAGCGUGGGUAGCAAACAGGAUUAGAAACCCCAGUAGUCC
rnacentral:rRNA from 1 species